rnacentral:rRNA from 1 species
CACGUAGGGUGCGAGCGUUGUCCGGAAUUAUUGGGCGUAAAGAGCUCGUAGGCGGUGUGUCGCGUCGGCCGUGAAAACCUGCAGCUUAACUGUGGGCGUGCGGUCGAUACGGGCAUCACUGGAGUUCGGCAGGGGAGACUGGAAUUCCUGGUGUAGCGGUGAAAUGCGCAGAGAUCGGGAGGAACACCCGUAGCGAAGGCGGCACUCUGGGCCGGUACUGACGCUGAGGAGGCGAAAAGCAUGGGGAGCGAACAGG